rnacentral:rRNA from 1 species
UUCGAUGCAACGCGAAGAACCUUACCAAGGCUUGACAUAUACUGGAUCGCUCUAGAGAUAGGGUUUCCCUUCGGGGCUGGUAUACAGGUGGUGCAUGGUUGUCGUCAGCUCGUGUCGUGAGAUGUUGGGUUAAGUCCCGCAACGAGCGCAACCCUCGUUCUAUGUUGCCAGCACGUGAUGGUGGGGACUCAUAGGAGACUGCCGGGGUCAACUCGGAGGAAGGUGGGGAUGACGUCAAAUCAUCAUGCCCCUUAUGUCUUGGGCUUCACGCAUGCUACAAUGGCCGGUACAAAGGGUUGCGAUACUGUGAGGUUGAGCUAAUCCCAAAAAGCCGGUCUCAGUUCGGAUUGGGGUCUGCAACUCGACCCCAUGAAGUCGGAGUCGCUAGUAAUCGCAGAUCAGCAACGCUGCGGUGAAUACGUUCCCGGGCCUUGUACACACCGCCCGUCAAGUCACGAAAGUUGGUAACACCCGAAGCCGAUGGCCUAACCCCUUGUGGGAGGGAGUCGUCGAAGGUGGGAUUGGCGAUUGGGACUAAGUCGUAACAAGGUAGCCGUACCGGAAGGUGCGGCUGG